rnacentral:rRNA from 1 species
GACGAACGCUGGCGGCGUGCUUAACACAUGCAAGUCGAACGGAAAGGCCCUGCUUUUGUGGGGUGCUCGAGUGGCGAACGGGUGAGUAACACGUGAGUAACCUGCCCUUGACUUUGGGAUAACUUCAGGAAACUGGGGCUAAUACCGGAUAGGAGCUCCUGCUGCAUGGUGGGGGUUGGAAAGUUUCGGCGGUUGGGGAUGGACUCGCGGCUUAUCAGCUUGUUGGUGGGGGAGUGGCCUACCAAGGCUUUGACGGGUAGCCGGCCUGAGAGGGUGACCGGCCACAUUGGGACUGCGAUACGGCGCAGACUACUACGGGAGGCAGCAGUGGGGAAUAAUGCACAAUGGGCGGAAGCCUGAUGCAGCAACGCCGCGUGCGGGAUGACGGCCUUCUGGUUGUAAACCGCUUUCGCCUGUGACGAAGCGUGAGUGACGGUAAUGGGUAAAGAAGCACCGGCUAACUACGUG